rnacentral:lncRNA from 1 species
AGUUCUUAAAAAGGUGUUUCAAAAUAAGUGGCAACUUUAAUUAAAUGUUUUUUUAUUAUGUAGGGGAGGGGAUGGGCAAGACAUUUGGAAAUAAUUGUUCUUAUGGAAACAUUAUUUAUACAGUAGCAUCAAUGACUUACUUUAUAUUCCUUUCUUUACAUUUUAAGAAAAGGAGCCUUUCAUAUUUGUUUGAGGAUAAAAAUGUUUUUACGUUUUUAUACCUGGUUGACGGAGUACUUUGUCCUUCUCAUAGCUUUAAAGGACCCUGAAUCCUGUUUCGGCACAUGCAGAAUAAAAGUGUGUCUCCUCUCCCCACUCCACUCUUGUGAUGCAUGUCUUUUAUUAAUAGGGAUACAAUUCUGGAAGUGAUAAAUUGAGACUUGGCUCACAUUGCUUCACACAAAUAUGGCUGGUGAAACUCCAGUAUGUAGUUCAUAUGACAGAUUUCAAGAUAGCACAAAUUGAAUCAAGUGUUAUGACUCAGAACACUCUGAGGGUUAAUUAAUGUAUGUCUACAAAAAUAAUUUUGGGGUAAAAAGGCUACACAAUGGAAAAGUAUUAGUAUAGUGAUGCUCGCAUAUAGUAAAAGUUGUACAGGAACUAUUUUUAUAGCCAUCUUUCCCUCUUUUCAAUGCUUUCUCUCUCUCCCCUUAUCUAAGAGAUCAUGCCCUACUUUACUUAAAUCUUCAGUUAUCCAGGAGUUGGCUUCCUCUGCUUUUGGAACUUGUGAAGCAGCUGGGUAGUGAUGCUAGUCGGGGCUGGUUGGAACUGAGGAUGAAGGUGAGGAGGCUGGCAAGCUGUCACUCAAAGGAGUUGCAUGGAGUCUUGCCAAUGAGAACCAGACCAUGGCAGGAAUUAUAACUGAAGAAAUAAUUCACAUGUAUGUGUGUGUGCACACACAUAGUCACACAGACAGGCAGUACACAUGAAACUGCUGCGUAAAGCAUAGUAUUCCCUGAGGAAAAUGAGAAAUAGAACUUCCCAGAAGUCAACAGUGACAGAGUUUGUUCACUCAUGUACUCUCUCAUGCCUCUGUUCCUUCAGUAUUUGUGUAAUCUCUACUCAGUGCUCUACACCGAAGAAGACAUUACAGGAUCAAAAUGGCCAAAUGUUUUUAAGAAAGUAGAAUUAAUUGGAGGCACUAUUUCCAUAUGUCUAAGAUUAAAUCAUAAUAAAAAAAAAGCCAAGGGUUUAAUGUCUUUAAAAUGCCGUCGGAUACUACCAGAUCUACGGAAAAGGCCCACUCAUUUCUGAAGGAGUUUUUCUUUGAGGAUUAGCUUGUCUAUAAAAUUUAAAAAAACUAAACACAUGGUGAGAGGCUAUGGGUGAUGGUUCCUCUCAGGACAACUGGUAACAUUCCCAGAAUUGAUUCUCUUGGGAUCCAUCACUAGAAAUACAGGGAAGGCAGGGAAAUAAUGACAUAACUUGUUUGUUAACUUCCUUCUGGCUGCCUGAGAAAUACAGCAAACCAUUUUGUGUUUGAUAUGUACUAUAAAAGGUUGAGAAUAGUAAAAGGGAAAUAAAGCAUUACAUGGAUUUCACUGACGCACAGAAAAUAAACUUCUUGGUUCCUGUUUACCACCCACAUCAGUUUGAUUCUCCAAACUUGCUGUAGCUCUGUAUAGACUGUUUAAAAGGUUAGCUGCCAUGACCCUGAUACGACAAAGAGCUACACAAGAAGGCGAGUGCCAGCAGUGCAUGAACAGGAAAAUGUUUAAGCCUUAAAGGUAGAAACACCACAACAGUGGAUUCGAGUAAAAUGUUUCCGCGAGUUCAACUCUGGGAGCAUUUGACGGGUUGUCUUCCCAGAAAGAGAGGAAGGAUGUUGUCUUUAUGUGGAUGCGGUGGUUAGAAAGUGAAUGUAUUAGAUUUCCCAAAUAAGCAUCAUUUUGAGCAUCAUGUAUUCCAUUCACACCAGGGGCACCGAUUUAUAAUUACCCUAACGGAGCCCAGAGUGGGGAGAAAUGGCUGUUCCCAUCGACUUCUUCUUAGGCACCGAGUACAUUGGUCACCCACCACCUCAACCACAGGGUGCAAGUGAGGUUUGCUGAUUUCAGCUUGCUUACCAUGGAUGUGCAUUUCUAGGUCACUGAUUCUGGCACAGCAGUGUUCACGGCAAGCAGUGUAUAUAAAGGGGAAUUUACAUGCAGGACGGCUGGCAUAGCCGGAUGGACUUUGGCUUGGCCUGCUUGGGUAACUAACUGUAAAUGAAGCCUGGGCAUUUCCAGAUCGUGUCCUCGCUAAUGAAAAAUGCAUUUGUGUUUGGAUGUACCGAUGUCCAAGUAUAUUAAACCAAAACAUAUACUGAGCUGGCAACAUGGAAAAACAUCUAUUAUGAGUAGCGAGAGAAGGAGUGCCUCAAAUGUCUCCUUUAGCUCUGAAUUCUGUUCCCUAUUUUAUUGUGAGGGGAGUCUAUUAGCAAAAAAGAUAAGAUUUAAGAUAGAAACCUUGCAAGUAACGUUAAGUAGCUGUCUAUCAGAGCAUAUCAUCUACGAGAUGCUGUUAGCGGUUUGACUGAAUUCUAGCAGCAUAUACUUUUACUUAUCUUUCUGGGUUGGUUGCAUUCAGCCAUGAUGGUAUUCAGAUUGUUGACACAUGAUUUGUGAGAGGAUUUAGCUUUCCUUAAACUGCAACAUGAAUACUGAAAUGGGAAUCUAAUCUUAAAACUAGUGCAGGGCAAUUUGCAAAAGCAUCUUAAAACAUGAGUGUGGGGAAUCUUGAAACAUCAGGAAGAAAAUAUUUUUCCUAGUGUCAGGAAAAAACACUGCAGGAAAAGGAGGGUCAUUAGUAGCUGAUUUGCUGAACCAGAUGGGGCUUCGUGACAUGUUUAAGGUGAUCCCAAGAGUGGUAUUUGCUUGAGGCUACAAAUGCUAUCUUUGUAUCAAACUCUGAAGCCAGUGCUGGAAUAGAAAAUAGAUAUCUCAUUCUUUAGGUAUUUUUAGGCGUUAUUGAUUCUAGCUUCUAUAUUGAGUUUAUAAAAACAAAUCAGGGGCCUGAGGGGCCGCUGCCUGUUGUUGCAGGAUCACUGAGGGCAAGCGGUUCUUAGGGUAUUUAGAAACUAGUUAGGUACAAACACACACUGUGUGUUUGCAUAUAUGCAUAUACAUAUAUCCGUGUGUGUGUACACAUAUAUUCACAUGUAUGUGUAUGUGUUUGUAUGUGUGUACGUUUGUGUGUGUGUGUGUGUGUAUGUGUGGUGCUUUGAAUGAAGUGGAAAAACCCUGGAGUCAUGGCUUCCAAGGCAGUCUCUGGGCUUUAACCUACAGAUAUUGUGCAAUCUUGGGCAAGCUGUCUCACUCUGGGAGAUCAGCUAGUCGUGAGGAUCCUGCCCUUAGCAUCUGACACCUUCUUGGAUAACAUAUUUUGAAUCUGCUGAGGAAAAGGGUUGAGGGUUGAUAGUAUGUUUGCUCUGUAUUUAAACUUUCAAGCCAAAUGGGAGUCUGCAAUGUGCCUGACACUCUUCUAUGGGCACUGGGGACACUAUAGUGAAGAAAACAGAUAAAAGAAGGUGACAUGUGACUACUAAUUUGAAAGAGGCAAGAGAAGGAGGAAGGAACAUUCCAGGUAAAGAGAAAAUCAAUUGCAGAGGCCCCGAGGUGGGAGUGUGCUUGGCAUAUUUGAGGAAGAUCAGGGAGCCACUGUACCUGGAGUAAAAAAUGGGGUGAAAAGUUACCGGUGAAGUCAGAAUCUUGUAGGUCAUCGAAAGGGCUAUUCGCUAUCAUUUGGGACCCACUUUAGAGUGUUGAGCCUGGAAAGUGACAGGUGUGACCUGUGGUUUGAAUACAUCUGCCUGUACCCUAUGGUGAGAGAAGAUCUAGGUGGCUGGUAGGAGAGGAAGUGGGGAGAAAAGUUAGGAGGCUGUGGGAGUAAUUCUGCAAAGAGGUGAGGGUGCUGAUACUGAGGUGCUAAUGGAAGAGGUAGUGAGAAGGGGUCCGAUUCUUGAUAUAGAUGGAAAAAAUGGAGCUAAUUGGGUCACUAAUGCUUUGGAUGUGGGCUAUGAGGGUGAGAAGACAAGCAGGGCACCGAGGGUUAUAGCACUGAGACUGGAAGGAUGAGAUUUCCAUUUGCUAAAAUGAGAUGCCUAUUGGAAGAGCAGGUUUGGGAGACUAGGAAUUUGUUUGUGUGGGGGGAAUGCAUUUAAUUUCUGACCCUGCAAGUUUGUCGUAUCUCUAUUUGCAAGGCAAGUAGAAACAUCAAACAGACAGCUAGAAUUUGGGCAGACGCUGGGAAUUGUUAGUAGAUAGGUGGUGUGGGAAAGCCAUGAGGUCUCCGAGGAGACAGUGUACCCACACAUGUGGACGACGUCCUUGGGCAAAGCCUGGUGACCCUACAGCGUUCGGAGGUCAGGGAGAUGGGGAAGGACCAUAAAAGAAACUAGAUGAGUGAUCAGUGAGGAGGAAGGAAAAGCAGGAACAUGGGGUGACCCGGCAACCACGCAAAGGAGGUGUUUUGAGAGAAUGAUCUGUUAUGACAAAGGUUGCUAUUCAGUCAAUGUGGGAGAACACGAUUUAAGACAGAAAUGGUGGGGGUGGCGGGGGAAGGCUUUAUACUUUAAUUUCUCCAGCGGGGAUGAGGGGCUGUUGCCUCUUCUGACUUGGCAAAUCGUAGAAAUUUUGGGCUUUCUCUACCCCCACCCCCCUUAUUUAUUUUUUUUCCUGUUUACAGAUGGAAAUUCUUUUCUGAGCUAAUCUCUUAAAGCACUUUGUCAAAUGCACCCACUAAUAACCGGCUCAUGCUUUUAACAUUCUGUUUUCCAAUUAUGUUCUGUGGAGCUACAAUACGAUGAGGUACAUGAACUGUCUCAGAAAUUGUCAGACAAGAUUAUUUACCAAAUAAUUUGUGACGGCAUAAUAUGGCCUGCCAUCUCUCCAGCUUGUCAUGUGAUUUUCCUAACUGCUUAUUCUCUAAGCCAAGGCUACACGAGAGUUUAGAUUUUAAGGUUUUUAGCAGGGACCCCUUAAGAACCAAAUGGAAAGCUAGGCAGUCCCCCAGUUCUGGUGGCCGAAAAGAGUGAGCCUUUGUCUUCCACUCACACAAAGGCUGCGGCAGGGUUGGGGGGCCCCCACAGUGACUAUCUUCCAUUUCACGACUCGGCCUGGCUGAGUCCCUGUGGGCAGUGAAGGCCGUGUUGGAAAGAUGAGCAUCCAAAGUUAGGGUCUUCCAGGAGGAAGUUACAUGCGUGCUCCUACCCGAAACCAGAUGACUGCUUCUAAUUUCGAAGGCUUAGAGAAGAAUAAGGUAUCAGAGAACAGCUGCAGAGCCUGCCUCGGAAAUAAUCUGUUUUUACUAUAUUUUGAGAGUCACAAAUCAGUGUAAAGCCAUGUGAAUUGACUUUUUAUCUUCUUACCUAAUAUCGAGGUGAUUUCUUGAAGAAAAAUUUUGCUUCACGGCUGGGUCUGAGGCUGUAAAGACAGAAUAGCCAGAAUAUUAUGAACAGGGGUGCCUCUGGGAAAAGCCCCUGAGAAGAUGGAAUGAAAUGAAACCAAACUCUCUGCAGUCAAGUGCUGCUCUGUUACUUCCCAGCUGUGUGUCACUGGUCAAGGUAGAAUUGCCAGAUGUAGAAUAUAAAAAUACCAGCCUCCAGAAUUGUCAGAAAAACUUCCUUCCUGAAGCCACCCAGCCUGUGGUAUUUGUUAAUGUAGCUGGAGCAAGGCAGACCCACAGGGACCUCUGGAAGCAGAGUCCCAUCCCUUUCCCCCAGCAGACACCAUCCUCUGCCCAUGGGAAGAGUUCUGCUUACCCUUUUUCUGACAAAGGAAUAUUAUAGAGACAAAGCUGGAAAAAACACGUCACCCUGUGAAGGAGCUUUGGUUCAGCUGCAGAGCUAAACUCUUACCUCUGUGCUAAAUUGGAAUUGGCCGUGAAUGAUUAUGAAAAUCUGCCGUUGCUGAAGGAUCUUAUUGGAAACCAAAGACAAGAACAGACAUUUCUUGGUGUCGCUAUGUCCUAGCAUGUGGUCUCUAUACUUGGGCUCCUGAAUGCUUUCCUGUGCCUUGUUAAAUGUAUUGUUUUUCUGGACCCCAUGCAAGAAAAAAAUGCUUAAAAAAAAAAAAAAAAAAAAGAUAAGCUCUGGGCAGUACCAUGACAAACUCCUGCAUAUACUUUUAACUUUUCUUCUGAACCCAUUGAAUCUGUGUAUUAAAAAUUACCAUUAUUUGUUUAAAAUUAUGUUAAAAACACUGUUCUUCUCCCUCUUGUCUAAACAUAUUUAGUCUCUUAUUUGAAUUAGCUUCAUAUCUUUGUUUCAGAAUUCGAUUUAACUUGAACUUAUACUAAACCUUUAAUCAAAUGC